UUAUCGUUUAUUUGAUAUUGCCUAUCCUACAUGGAUAACAGUGGUAAUUCUAGAGCUAAUACAUGCUGAAAAUCCCGACUUCGGAAGGGACGUAUUUAUUAGAAUCAGAACCAAUGCCCUUCGGGGUUUUCUGGUGACUCAUGAUAACUCCACAGAUCGCAUGGCCUUGCGCCGGCGAUGGCUCAUUCAAAUUUCUUCCCUAUCAACUUUCGACGGUACGGUCUUGGCCUACCGUGGUUGUAACGGGUGACGGAGGGUUAGGGCUCGACCCCGGAGAAGGAGCCUGAGAAACGGCUACUACAUCCAAGGAAGGCAGCAGGCGCGCAAAUUAUCCAAUCCCGACUCGGGGAGAUAGUGACAAUAAAUACCGAUACAGGGCUCUUUUGGGCCCUGUAAUUGGAAUGAGUACAAUUUAAACCUCUUAACGAGGAACAAUUGGAGGGCAAGUCUGGUGCCAGCAGCCGCGGUAAUUCCAGCUCCAAUAGCGUAUAUUAAAGUUGUUGUGGUUAAAAAGCUCGUAGUCGAACCUCGAGCCUGGCCGGCCGGUCCGCCUCACCGCGUGCACUGGUCUGGCCGGGCUCUUCCCUCUGCGGAACCGCAUGUCCUUCACUGGGCGUGUCGGGGAGGCAGGACUUUUACUUUGAAAAAAUUAGAGUGCUCAAGGCAGGCCAAUGCUCGAAUACAUUAGCAUGGAAUAAUAGAAUAGGACGUUGGUUCUAUUUUGUUGGUUUCUAGGACCGCCGUAAUGAUCAAUAGGGACGGUCGGGGGCAUCAGUAUUCAGCCGUCAGAGGUGAAAUUCUUGGACCGGCUGAAGACUAACUACUGCGAAAGCAUUUGCCAA
rnacentral:rRNA from 2 species